rnacentral:rRNA from 1 species
AGUGAACGCUGGCGGUAGGCCUAACACAUGCAAGUCGAACGGCAGCACAGUAAGAGCUUGCUCUUACGGGUGGCGAGUGGCGGACGGGUGAGGAAUACAUCGGAAUCUACUUUUUCGUGGGGGAUAACGUAGGGAAACUUACGCUAAUACCGCAUACGACCUACGGGUGAAAGCAGGGGAUCUUCGCACCUUGCGCGAUUGAAUGAGCCGAUGUCGGAUUAGCUAGUUGGCGGGGUAAAGGCCCACCAAGGCGACGAUCCGUUGCUGGUCGGAGAGGAUGGUAGGCCGCACUGGAGCGGGAACGGGGUCAAGACUACUGCGGGAGGCAGCAGUGGGGAAUAUUGGGCAAUAGGCGGAAGCCUGAUCCAGCCGUACCGCGUGGGUGAAGAAGGCCUUGGGGUUGUAAAGCCCUUUUGUUGGGAAAGAAAAGCAGCAGGUUAAUACCCCGCUGUUCUGACGGUACCCAAAGAAUAAGCACCGGCUAACUUCGUG